rnacentral:rRNA from 1 species
GACGAACUCUGGCGGCGCGCCUAACACAUGCAAGUCGAACGAGCGAGAGAGAGCUUGCUUUCUCGAGCGAGUGGCGAACGGGUGAGUAACGCGUGAGGAACCUGCCUCAAAGAGGGGGACAACAGUUGGAAACGACUGCUAAUACCGCAUAAGCCCACGGGUCGGCAUCGACCAGAGGGAAAAGGAGCAAUCCGCUUUGAGAUGGCCUCGCGUCCGAUUAGCUAGUUGGUGAGGUAAUGGCCCACCAAGGCAACGAUCGGUAGCCGGACUGAGAGGUUGAACGGCCACAUUGGGACUGAGACACGGCCCAGACUCCUACGGGAGGCAGCAGUGGGGAAUAUUGCACAAUGGGGGAAACCCUGAUGCAGCGACGCCGCGUGGAGGAAGAAGGUCUUCGGAUUGUAAACUCCUGUUGUUGGGGAAGAUAAUGGCGGUACCCAACAAGGAAGUGACGGCUAACUACGUGCCAGCAGCCGCGGUAAAACGUAGGUCACAAGCGUUGUCCGGAAUUACUGGGUGUAAAGGGAGCGCAGGCGGGAAGACAAGUUGGAAGUGAAAUCUAUGGGCUCAACCCAUAAACUGCUUUCAAAACUGUUUUUCUUGAGUAGUGCAGAGGUAGGCGGAAUUCCCGGUGUAGCGGUGGAAUGCGUAGAUAUCGGGAGGAACACCAGUGGCGAAGGCGGCCUACUGGGCACCAACUGACGCUGAGGCUCGAAAGUGUGGGUAGCAAACAGGAUUAGAUACCCUGGUAGUCCACACCGUAAACGAUGAUUACUAGGUGUUGGAGGAUUGACCCCUUCAGUGCCGCAGUUAACACAAUAAGUAAUCCACCUGGGGAGUACGACCGCAAGGUUGAAACUCAAAGGAAUUGACGGGGGCCCGCACAAGCAGUGGAGUAUGUGGUUUAAUUCGACGCAACGCGAAGAACCUUACCAAGUCUUGACAUCCCUUGACAGACAUAGAAAUAUGUAAUCUCUUCGGAGCAAGGAGACAGGUGGUGCAUGGUUGUCGUCAGCUCGUGUCGUGAGAUGUUGGGUUAAGUCCCGCAACGAGCGCAACCCUUAUGGUCAGUUACUACGCAAGAGGACUCUGGCCAGACUGCCGUUGACAAAACGGAGGAAGGUGGGGAUGACGUCAAAUCAUCAUGCCCUUUAUGACUUGGGCUACACACGUACUACAAUGGCGUUAAACAAAGAGAAGCAAGACCGCGAGGUGGAGCAAAACUCAGAAACAACGUCCCAGUUCGGACUGCAGGCUGCAACUCGCCUGCACGAAGUCGGAAUUGCUAGUAAUCGUGGAUCAGCAUGCCACGGUGAAUACGUUCCCGGGCCUUGCACU